rnacentral:rRNA from 1 species
AUGCGAGAUGUGCCAAUCGCACAGCUUGCUGAGAGGCUGCUAUGUCAACGUCUUGGCAUUGUUGCUGAAGGGGAGCAACUCACUGAAGCGGCCAUCAGCAAAUUCGUGUCAUUAUUCCAUGGGAGGUUGCCAGACAUCACCAUUGCGGCCCUGCGUGCACUCUUCCAUCUAGACUGUGACCUGCUGACGGCGGUUGAGGAUGCACUGGUUCAACACGGUGGUGAGGAUGGUCCAGAGCUGCAGAUGCAAGGAAAUGAAGACGUUGCAGCGUCGACGGCGACAUAG